UAGGGAAUCUUCGGCAAUGGGGGGAACCCUGACCGAGCAACGCCGCGUGAGUGAAGAAGGUUUUCGGAUCGUAAAGCUCUGUUGUUAAGGAAGAACGAGUGUGAGAAUGGAAAGUUCAUGCUGUGACGGUACCUAACCAGAAAGCCACGGCUAACUACGUGCCAGCAGCCGCGGUAAUACGUAGGUGGCAAGCGUUGUCCGGAAUUAUCGGGCGUAAAGCGCGCGCAGGUGGUUUAGAAAGUCUGAUGUGAAAGCCCACGGCUCAACCGUGGAGGGUCAUUGGAAACUAAUAAACUUGAGUGCAGGAGAGAAAAGUGGAAUUCCUAGUGUAGCGGUGAAAUGCGUAGAGAUUAGGAGGAACACCGGUGGCGAAGGCGGCUUUUUGGCCUGCAACUGACACUGAGGCGCGAAAGCGUGGGGAGCAAACAGG
rnacentral:rRNA from 1 species